rnacentral:RNase_P_RNA from 1 species
UAUGCAAUGAGUUUAAGCUCAAAACAUCCUGCAAAUAUACAUACACAAAAUGAAAGAAAGAAAUAAAAAAGAAAAAAGAAAAAAUGGAAAAAUAGGUCACAUAUUUGUAUGUUUCUUGUUUUUCCAUUUUUUUUUUUUUUUUUUUUUUUCCUUUUUCUUUCUCCUAAUUUGUGUAAUUUUUAUAAAAACAGGAAGGAAGGUCUGAGAUGCUGCAUUUAAAGAAUAGAAAAGAAAAGUCAAUGAAUUUUAAUUUUUUUUUUUUUUUUUUUAUAAUUCUUAUGAAUUAAAAAGAAAGAAAAAAAAAGUUAUAACAUUCGUUGUUACUUUUUAUUUCACAUAUAUAUAUAUAUAUUCUUUAAUAAAAUUUUUGAGAGAAAAAGUAUUGAACAAAUAUUAAUUAGUUACCAGAAAUAUCAAUCAUAUAUUUAAAAUUUCGUAAGAAGUUUUGUGUAUGGUUUUGAAAAAGCUAAUAAGCAAGUAUACAUUGGUGAGUUCGAUUUUUGAGGUUUUUCUUUAUUCCUACAUCUCAUAUAUCAAUAUUUUUUUUAUAAUUAUAUAUUAUACGAGGUGAUAAUAAGAAAAAUAACUUAAUUCAGACUACUCCUAAAUUCAUUGCUGCAA